rnacentral:rRNA from 1 species
UAGAGUUUGAUCAUGGCUCAGAACGAACGCUGGCGGCAGGCCUAACACAUGCAAGUCGAGCGCGCCUUCGGGUGAGCGGCGGACGGGUUAGUAACGCGUGGGAACGUGCCCUUUUCUACGGAAUAGCCUCUGGAAACGGAGAGUAAUACCGUAUACGCCCUUUGGGGGAAAGAUUUAUCGGAGAAGGAUCGGCCCGCGUUAGAUUAGGUAGUUGGUGGGGUAACGGCCUACCAAGCCUACGAUCUAUAGCUGGUUUUAGAGGAUGAUCAGCAACACUGGGACUGAGACACGGCCCAGACUCCUACGGGAGGCAGCAGUGGGGAAUCUUAGACAAUGGGGGCAACCCUGAUCUAGCCAUGCCGCGUGAGUGAUGAAGGCCUUAGGGUCGUAAAGCUCUUUCGCCUGUGAUGAUAAUGACAGUAGCAGGUAAAGAAACCCCGGCUAACUCCGUGCCAGCAGCCGCGGUAAUACGGAGGGGGUUAGCGUUGUUCGGAAUUACUGGGCGUAAAGCGCGCGUAGGCGGAUUAGAAAGUUGGGGGUGAAAUCCCGGGGCUCAACCUCGGAACUGCCUCCAAAACUGCUAGUCUAGAGUUCGAGAGAGGUGAGUGGAAUUCCGAGUGUAGAGGUGAAAUUCGUAGAUAUUCGGA